GCUUCGCUAGCGCAGUUGGCAGCGCGUCAGUCUCAUAAUCUGAAGGUCACCAGUUCGAUCCUGGUGUGGAGCA
rnacentral:tRNA from 1 species